GUGCUCUGUUCAGCAGCACAUGCUAGAAUUAGAACAAUACAGAGAAGAUUAGCACGGCCUCCGCACAAGGAUGAUAUGCAAAUUUGUAAAGCGUUUCAUAUUUUG
ensembl:snRNA U6 U6 spliceosomal RNA